UACGAAGGGGGCUAGCGUUGCUCGGAAUUACUGGGCGUAAGGGGCGCGUAGGCGGCACUGUUAGUCAGGCGUGAAAGUCCUGGGCUCAACCUGGGAACUGCGCUUGAUACGGCAGAGCUAGAGGAUGGAAGAGGGUCGCGGAAUUCCCAGUGUAGAGGUGAAAUUCGUAGAUAUUGGGAAGAACACCGGUGGCGAAGGCGGCGACCUGGUCCAUUACUGACGCUGAGGCGCGACAGCGUGGGGAGCAAACAGG
rnacentral:rRNA from 1 species